CCCUUAGAUGUUCUGGGCCGCACACGCGCUACACUGAAGGAGGCAGCGUGUACUCCUGGAUCGAAAGAUUUGGGUAACCCGCGAAUCUCCUUCGUGCUAGGGAUUGAGGUUUGCAAUUAUCCUUCAUGAACGAGGAAUUCCCAGUAAGUGCAAGUCAUAAGCUUGCGCUGACUACGUCCCUGCCCUUUGUACACACCGCCCGUCGCUACUACCGAUUGAGCAGUCCGGUGAAUACUUCGGACCGUUUGCAUAGAUGGUUCGCCAUCUUUGCGAAUGGAAAGUCGAGUGAACCUUACUGCUUAGAUGAAGGAGAAGUCGUAACA
rnacentral:rRNA from 1 species